GCAGAGCCAUUGACUUGGAGAGGCUGGGGCUAUUGGGCCCGACACCCAAGUUUGUUAGCCCCUUGCCUCCUACACAGCCGAGCUUACUUUGGACAAAAGAGUGAGGAAAAAUAAAGCAAUGGCAGGAACAAAUGAAGAGUGAUGCUGGGGAAGAUAAAACCAGAUCUCUGAGCAAAAGAAGCUUGGGUAUAGGUCUCAGAACCUUGGAGAGAGUGGCACCUCUGACAUGCUGUAUGAACCAAUUGUUAUAUGGAGUGUGAACAGAAACCUGUUAUCCCCCUUUUGAAGAGGACACAUGAAUAUCUGACCAACCUUAUAUUCCUUUGUGCAGAAUGGCCAGGCACUUAAAACUUUGUAGUCACCAUGGUUCACUGUAUCACCAGCAGGGGGAAGCAGUCUCUGCGUGGUCCUCUGCCGAUUGCAUCGGGGAAAGUCAUUAAAAAGAAUUAAAAAGGAAACAGAAAGAGACGGAAGAGGGGGAAAAAAACCCAACUGAACAGCCCCAAACAGUUAUAAACUCAAACAAAAGAACAACAGGAUCUUCCUGCUCAAAGGUCUGGGCCACCCUCACCUUGACAGCAAAGGACAGCAGCACUCCAGCGAUUUACUGGGAGAAUGGAGGAAAGCCUUGGCUAUAUAUCUGCUGGAGCUGUGGUGAUAUGGGUUGUGGGACUGGUUGGGAAGCUGUCAUCUGAUUGUUCAGAUGGGAAAAAAUAUAUAUCUACAGAAUUAAAUUAAUUACACAAGGUUGAAUCAUCCAUCUGCUGAAAUUGGCAAUAGUUCAGUAUCUUGGC